GUGCUCACUUCGGCAGCACAUAUACUAAAACUGGAAAGAUACAGAGAAGAUUGGCAUGGCCCCUGUGCAAGGAUGACAUGCAAAUUCAUGAAGCGUUCCAUAUUUUU
rnacentral:snRNA from 1 species